UCCCUUUUUCGUAUGGUUUGGCAGUGGAUUAGAGUUUGAUCCUGGCUCAGGACGAACGCUGGCGGCGUGCCUAAUGCAUGCAAGUCGAACGCGCCCGCUUCGGCGGGCGAGUGGCGCACGGCUGAGUAACACGUGGGAACCUGCCCCCCGGUGGGGGAUAACGCGACGAAAGUCGCGCUAAUCCCGCAUACGUCCGCACGGAGAAAGCGCCUCGGCGCGCCGGGGGAGGGGCCUGCGGCCCAUCAGGUCGUUGGUAGGGUAAUGGCCUACCAAGCCGAUGACGGGUAGCUGGUCUGGGAGGAUGGCCAGCCAGACUGGGACUGAGUCACGGCCCAGACUCCUACGGGAGGCAGCAGCAAGGAAUUUUCGGCAAUGGGCGCAAGCCUGACCGAGCAACGCCGCGUGCGGGAUGACGGCCUUCGGGUUGUAAACCGCUUUUCGGGGGGACGACAUCCGACGGUACCCCCGGAAGAAGCCCCGGCUAACUCUGUGCCAGCAGCCGCGGUAAGACAGAGGGGGCGAGCGUUGUCCGGAGUCACUGGGCGUAAAGCGCGCGCAGGCGGUCGCCUAAGUGUCGUGUGAAAGCCCCCGGCUCAACUGGGGGAGGCCAUGGCAAACUGGGCGACUCGAGCCGCGGAGAGGCCCCUCGAAUUGCCGGUGUAGCGGUGAAAUGCGUAGAGAUCGGCAGGAAGACCAAGGGGGAAGCCAGGGGGCUGGCCGCGCGCUGACGCUGAGGCGCGACAGCGUGGGGAGCAAACCGGAUUAGAUACCCGGGUAGUCCACGCCGUAACGAUGACCACUCGGCGUGUGCGACUAUUGACGUCGCGCGCGCUAAGCUAACGCGUUAAGUGGUCCGCCUGGGGAACUACGGAGCGC
rnacentral:rRNA from 1 species